rnacentral:rRNA from 1 species
GAUGAACGCUGGCGGAGGGAUGAAUACAUGCAAGUCGUGCGAACGGACGAGAAGCUUGCUUCUCUGAUGUUAGCGGCGGACGGGUGAGUAACACGUGGAUAACCUACCUAUAAGACUGGGAUAACUUCGGUAAACCGGUGCUAAUACCGGAUGAUAUUUUGAACCUCAUGGUUCAAAAGUGAAAGACGGUCUUGCUGUCACUUAUAGAUGGAUCCGCGCUGCAUUAGCUAGUUGGUAAGGUAACGGCUUACCAAGGCAACGAUGCAUAGCCGACCUGAGAGGGUGAUCGGCCACACUGGAACUGAGACACGGUCCAGACUCCUACGGGAGGAAGCAGUAGGGAAUCUUCCGCAAUGGGCGAAAGCAUGACGGAGCAACGCCGAGUGAGUGAUGAAGGUCUUCGGAUCGUAAAACUCUGUUAUUAGGGAAGAACAUAUGUGUAAGUAACUGUGCACAUCUUGACGGUGCCUAAUCAGAAAGCCACGGCUAACUACGUG